rnacentral:misc_RNA from 1 species
GAUGAAGAACGUAGCGAAAUGCGAUAAGUAGUGUGAAUUGCAGAAUUCAGUGAAUCAUCGAAUCUUUGAACGCACAUUGCGCCCCUUGGUAUUCCAUGGGGCAUGCCUGUUCGAGCGUCAUUUGUACCUUCAAGCUUUGCUUGGUGUUGGUGUUUGUCUCGCCUUUGCGUGUAGACUCGCCUUAAAAUAAUUGGCAGCCGGCGUAUUGAUUUCGGAGCGCAGUACAUCUCGCGCUUUGCACUCAUAACGACAGCGUCCAAAAGUACAUUUUACACUCUUGACCUCGGAUCAGGUAGGGAUACCCGCUGAACUUAAGCAUAUCAAUAAGCGGAGGA